rnacentral:rRNA from 2 species
UCCGAGUUGUAAUUUGAAGAAGGUAUCUUUGGGCCCGGCUCUUGUCUAUGUUCCUUGGAACAGGACGUCACAGAGGGUGAGAAUCCCGUGCGAUGAGAUGACCCGGGUCUGUGUAAAGUUCCUUCGACGAGUCGAGUUGUUUGGGAAUGCAGCUCUAAGUGGGUGGUAAAUUCCAUCUAAAGCUAAAUAUUGGCGAGAGACCGAUAGCGAACAAGUACAGUGAUGGAAAGAUGAAAAGAACUUUGAAAAGAGAGUGAAAAAGUACGUGAAAUUGUUGAAAGGGAAGGGCUUGAGAUCAGACUUGGUAUUUUGUAUGYUACUUCUCUCGGGGGUGGCCUCUACAGUUUAUCGGGCCAGCAUCAGUUUGGGCGGUAGGAGAAUUGCGUUGGAAUGUGGCACGGCUUCGGUUGUGUGUUAUAGCCUUCGWCGAUACUGCCAGCCUAGACUGAGGACUGCGGUUUAUACCUAGGAUGUUGGCAUAAUGAUCUUAAGUCGCCCGUCUUGAAACACGGACCAAGGAGUCUAACGUCUAUGCGAGUGUUUGGGUGUAAAACCCGUACGCGUAAUGAAAGUGAACGUAGGUGGGGGCCCGUAUGGGUGCACCAUCGACCGAUCCUGAUGUCUUCGGAUGGAUUUGAGUAAGAGCAUAGCUGUUGGGACCCGAAAGAUGGUGAACUAUGCCUGAAUAGGGUGAAGCCAGAGGAAACUCUGGUGGAGGCUCGUAGCGGUUCUGACGUGCAAAUCGAUCGUCGAAUUUGGGUAUA